GGGCCCCUGGACAAGUUGUGGUGGGUGGGCACUAGGGGGAUUUGGGGAGCAGGAUCACAGACUUAGACUUGAGGAAGAGGCAGGUGAUGUGCAGGCAGGUGGUGGGGAAGGAGGAAAGGAGGGGAGAUGAGCAGGUAUGUGGUGUAGGUAGGAAGGAGGAGGAGAAGUUCUUGAAAGCUGGGGGAUGUGUAGAGAAGAGGCGGGUUGAGCAGGAUCCCAGGUUUAUGUCAGGAUGUGUAGAGAAGAGGCGGGUUGAGCAGGAUCCCAGGUUUAUGUCAGGAGAGGAAGAGAAGAAGCAGAAGUCAGAGAAAUGUCUGUACAAACUGGAAGAAUCCUUCUCACUUCUGGGACAAGGGAUAGGAGCCAACCUAAGCAGGAGUAACUGGGACUGGGUGAGAUCUGGCACUUCCUCCCGGGCUUCCUGUGGCGGUCCCCAGGUGCACCCAGCGACCAGGUCCAGUCACAGCUGGUCAGGCCCAUGGCCAGGGAGGGAACCCUGCAAGUUGUAUGCUUGUGAGUGUUCGGCUGCCUCACAGUGUCUUGACGCAUCCUGGAACGUGAGAAGCCUGUGGCCCUGGCACACCCUGACAGAUGCCUGGGGGGCAGGAGGGAGCAAGGGGAUCUCAAUGCCCUACCUACCCCAGGUCACAGAGCCAACCCAUCAGGAUUCAGAGUGGUCACCCCCAUUCACAGGUAGGUGUUGUCAGCCCCCGUGGGUGAGGCCCCCAGAGCAGAAGUGCGAAGCCUGCCUCUGCCUCUGCUUACUUAUUUAGAGUAUGGAGACAUAUGUCCCUUUAACCAUUCAUUCAUUUAGCAAAUACUUAUUGGACAUCCAUGAUACCCCAGCCUCCGGCACUGGGAACAUAGCAGGGAAUACAGAGGCUCACAGUCCCUAACCUUCCUGGAGUGCUGUCAGGGGAGAGGGUGACAGACAGCAGCUGCACUGAUGAACACAGGCAGAGCCUCUCCGGACGCAUCCCAGAGCCCCCCCCCAUCCUCUGGGGGAUGCAGCGAGCCUGUGGUUGGUGGACUGGCUCACGAACCCGGAGCAGUCCUUCGACUCUCGCACGUCGUGAGUUCCCCGCUGCUUCCACCACCGUUAGGCAUUCGCCAAGAAGCCUGCCCAGCAGUUUCCACCCCUCAUUCCUGUGGAUUGGAGAUGGAAAAGGUUGGGGCCCAAGAACCUUGGGAGUGCGUCAGCUUGUGUCUUGGUUUGUGAGGAAGUUACUGCCUCUCGUUGUGGCCAGGCCCUUCCGGUAGCCACGAGGCAGUCUGCAAGAAGCACACUGUCUGUGAAAAGAGAACAGAGUUCACCAUUCGGAAGUCCUGCAUCUUUACCCUAGAGGUGAGACAUUACCCAUGUCGACCCACUCGCCCUUCUGCACUGCAACAGGGCUGGCAGUGAGCCGGAUGCAUGCAGUGUGCUGAGCUGGAAGGAACACCAGCCUCGGAGCUGAGAUAGAUGUCUUUAAGUCCUGGCUCAUCUUAGCCCAGCGACCUUGAUGGGAUGACCUUGAGAGACAUGUGUUCAGAGCAACAAACUAUGCGGGAUGAAUUGAGGACCAGGGCUCCAGGUCCUUGCCAACUCUGACGUGCUAUCGUUCUUUGAUUUUAUGUACACAUAUAUUUUUUUUCUGUUUGUUAAGAACUAACUCAAGAAUAUUUCCUUUAGUUAGUUUAAAAAGAAAAAAAUAUUUUAUUUAAUAAACAAGUUUGUGGCCAAAUGCUGUGCUGAGGAGACAAUCAUCGUAUACCUUUAUAAUUUUUCUUCCUGCUUCUGAGUGUCAUCCGACGAUGCCGAUAGGCUUAUUGUGUUGGGUUUCUGCUUGCGGGUCUGGUUUGAUUGCCUUGGUUUGUCACACGGAGGAAAUUAUCUUGGCAGCUGCCUCCUGUAAGUGAACUCCUGGAGAAAGCGAGUUUGCCUUUCAAUAAACGAUAUCACCCAACAGGAGUCUUGGCUCUCCCGUUAUUUCAACUCCCUUGUUUUCUCCAGAUCUUGGCUCCCUGUCUGCCAAGAAACAGCCCAGCUGAAUGGCUGGAAAGUACUCAAGGUAGAGGAACUUGGGGCAUUCCAGGCUGGGAGUUGGGUGGGAGGGGGUGAGGGGGGAACACAGAGGAUUAAAUGUAC
ensembl:lncRNA